rnacentral:rRNA from 1 species
UGGGGAAUAUUGCACAAUGGGCGCAAGCCUGAUGCAGCCAUGCCGCAUGUAUGAAGAAGGCCUUCGGGUUGUAAAGUACUUUCAGCGGGGAGGAAGGUGUUGUGGUUAAUAACCACAGCAAUUGACGUUACCCGCAGAAGAAGCACCGGCUAACUCAGUGCCAGCAGCCGCGGUAAUACGGAGGGUGCAAGCGUUAAUCGGAAUUACUGGGCGUAAAGCGCACGCAGGCGGUCUGUCAAGUCGGAUGUGAAAUCCCCGGGCUCAACCUGGGAACUGCAUCCGAAACUGGCAGGCUUGAGUCUUGUAGAGGGGGGUAGAAUUCCAGGUGUAGCGGUGAAAUGCGUAGAGAUCUGGAGGAAUACCGGUGGCGAAGGCGGCCCCCUGGACAAAGACUGACGCUCAGGUGCGAAAGCGUGGGGAGCAAACA